rnacentral:lncRNA from 1 species
CUUCUCUGCAGACACCAGCCUGGUGUCCUCCUUCAUCCCAGGCUGCCAGGCUAGGCAGGGGACAGCGGCUGCCCUGGUCCUCACAGCCCUGGCUACGGGGCUGGUGACAGCCAGAUCCUCAUGCUUCUGCGACCUGAGCGCUGCCUUCAGACACCUCUCUGCUGGCGUGUUCCUGGGUCCAUGAUGGAAGAAGGAAAAGUAUUUUUAAAAGACAAUCUGAAGCUCAUACUGUGACUGCAACAUAAAAUGUGUUCACCUGAGGAGACUGCUUUCAUCGCCAGUGUGUCACAGGUCUCUGAUGGUUCUGGUUUCCUGGGCACCUAGAAUAAGUGUGUCACCAUUUGUCCUGAAGCUGACUUCUCUGAGCUGGAUGGCACCCUGGACAUCAACCAGCCCUUCACCUUCACGUCACACAGGAGGGACACUGGUCCAUAGAGAGGAUGCCUGCUCUGGUCACCAGCUGGAGAGUGGCAGACCUUGGGUACCUGACCUUUGGACUCUGCCACACAGAGCACUUCCUCAGUCCCUCCUGCUGCCCCUGGCAGGGUGGAGCUGGCAGGGCAGCUGAUCCAGGACCGUCCACUUCCAAGCCAGCAGGAGGAUGGAAAAGCAGAAUGGAGGGGAAACAACCUCCUUUGCAGGGCGUGACUCGGAAGUUGGACACAUCAUUUCCAGCCACAUUCCAUGGACCAGAAUUAGCCCUGUGACCAACUCUGGCUGCCAGAAAAUCUGGGAAAUACAGUCUCUGCUUGGGCGAUCAGGCAGGCAGUUAUAUCUUUGGGAACAUCUCUCACCCCCUGGGAACACCUGAGCAGAAACUGAAGGACAUUUAACAGAUUCUCCUUUGUGUCUAAUAAGAAUUGCCCCCAUCAGUCGGGGCUGUCCUAGGUGCUGGGUACAUAGGUCAUCUAUACACAACCCAGCAAUGGAGAGCACACCAUUCCCAGGCUGCAGAUGCAGAAACUGUGGCUCGGAGAGUUAAGCGUCUUGUUCAGAUUCAGUCAGCUGGUAGAUGGCAGGUCUGGGAUUGAGACCCAGGCCUGGCUGGUCCUGCCAGGACACAGUAUCACAGCUUUGACUGGGAGCUUCUUUUUGUUUACAUAUAUUUUUUAUGCUCAAUGUGCAUUCCUUUUGAAAUACACAGAAAAGGGAAAGAAGCCGGAGUCCUGCCUUGUGUAGGAGGGAUAAGUUAGAGGUGUGCACCGGGAUAAAUCUGCCUCCCGCGCUGGCCCUGGCCCUGGCCCUGGCCCUGGCCCUGGCCCUGAUCCUGCUCCUGAUUCUGGUCCUUGGGGCCUGGGCGGCGAUUCCCGGCGCUGGCUGAGCGUCACCGGCCACCAGAGGGCGCUGCCGGGCUACCGGUCCGGUCGCCCGGGGAUCACAGCCUCAGCGGACAGGAAAUGAUCAACAGCUUCUCCUCUCGGAUCCACGUGGACUCAAGGAAUCUCCGGGGGGCAGGACAGGUGCAGAGCCGAGUGCAAAGGUGGAAUUCUAUUCCCAAAGCACAUCCCGCGCCCCUUUCCUCUGCAAAGUCCCGGAACCGCGUGACUCCGGAUGAGUUAUCGGGGCUGGAACCGAGGGUUCAGCCCCCUGCGCCUCUGUGUGUCCCGGUCCCUUUCCUCCAAGUAGACAGGAGGCAUCUCCUCAUCGGCUCAGUUCACAUUCCUCCAGGGGCUCAAAGGGGACCCAGUCCCUGUCUUGGGACACCAAGUCAGGCAGACUCCAGGAGAGAGGAAGGAAGAUGAUUCCCGCGCUCAGGUGGGCGGGUCCUGCUCCCUCUGUUGAAGACCUGAAGACAAAGAUUGACCCUCACCCUUCACCUCCCACCUCUUCCUCACCUUGGAAAAGAAAAACAUUCCUGAGAGGGGGGAUUUGUCAGCAGAAGGCUUUGGGACUAGAACUGCAGCAUCAGCUCUUCCUGGUUCCCCAGCGCCCAGGCCUACCCUGCAGAUGUGGGCUUACUGGCCUCCACGAUCAGUGAGCCGGUUCCUUAAAAUCAACCUCUCUCUCUUCCUCUGUCUCUCCCUCUCUCUCUCUCCCUGUCCACAUCCCAUUGGUUCUGUUUCUCUGGGGAAACCUGACUAAUAAGGGGACUCUCAAGGCCCUGGCUGAGGAUGGCAGGCCUGAAGAUUCUCUGAGGCAUUCAGCAUUGAAUGAGCACCAGCUGGGCGUGGAGCUGUGUCAGGCGCUGGGCACAGGACUCAGCCCCGGAACCAAGUGUGGGCCCACAUGGUGUGGGCCUUUGUCUGUCCCUGUCAUGGCUUUGGACACACGCGUGGCCCAGAGGGGACAACGGAUCUGGGUGGCGAGGUGGGAAAGCUCACCCCAGUAUUCCUCUUGGUGGCAGCAGUCCCUUAAGGGGUCGCCUGAGUCGUGAGACCCACAGGUGUGGACCUCCCCCCCCCCUUCCUCCCCUCUCCCCCAGUGACUUUAUCCAGCACCUGCCCUGCCCAGCCUUGCACAGGUUACCCUGUGACCCACUCACAGGGAGAUAGGGCAGCUUCUUUCUGCCCUCAGGAGCCUUGUUCUCAAGGCAGCUCAUCCAAGAGAAUAACAUACAGUAGAUUGCCACACACAUGACUGUGGCUUAGUCCAGGAAAGCCACUUAUAAAAUCCGGAGGUGAAGGAAGAAAAGAUUGAAAUCUCUGUAACAAAUCCAUUUCCCUCCUCCCUCCCUCCCUUCAUCUCCAAAGUAGACCUGCCCCAGGGCCAGGGAUCCUCUCCCUGCAAGGCUAGGUAACAAGCGGAUUUUUGCUUUUGAGCUUCAAGGUCCUGGCUUCUGGUGGUUUAUAGGUGAUCUUUGAGGGUGGUUUUGACGAGAGGCUUGUUAGCUUCUCUACGCUUUUGAAACGCCCACUCUCCCCACAAGAAUCUGGGACUUUGCAGAACCGGUCCAAGGUGAGAGUAGGAUUAAUUGCCAAAUGAGUUUUCUCAUAAGCCUGGGGUCCAAAGUACAUUGGACAGCCAGCAAAUGCUUAUGAGGGGUUUGAACAAGUGAAAUCAAGGCUCAAGGUCAUAGGACUCAAUGGAGAGUGAGGCAGCUGGGAUCUGGGAUGACCGGCAUGGGCCUCAAAGCAGGGGGCUUGGAAAUAGGCCCUGAAGAGGGGGUCGCUUGCGUGGCUAGGAAGGGGUUGGGGCCCACUAGCAUUUCUCAGAAUGCCUAUUUUCUUCGGCAGUGAGAGCUGGAGGGAGGGAUGGGUUUCUCAGCACAGUUCCAGUAUGAGUGGCUGUCACCACAGGGCGCCAUUGCCAAGUCAGAAAGAAACAAAGCUUAACCGCUGCCUCCUGUCCCCCAUGGUCUGUGAAAGUCUCAUACUGUAGUGCGUCUAAUGGUGGCCCCCCAAAAGAUACAUCUACAUUAUAAUUCCUGGGACCCAGAAAUGUGACCUUAUUUGGAAAAAGGGUCUUUGACCUUAUUUGGAAAAAGCGUCUUUACAAAUGUAAGUGACCUUAUUUGGAAAAAGUGUCUUUACAAAUGUAAUUUACAACAUUGAAUGAGCACCUGCUCUGUGUGGAGCUCCCUAUGUGGCCCAGGCUGGUCUUAAGGAUCGUGUGUGUGUGUGUGUGUGUGUGUGUGUGUGUGUGUGAGAGAGAUAGGGUCUCACUGUGUCAUCCAGGCUGGAAGGCAGUGGCACAAUCACGGCUCACUGCAGCCUCAACCUCCCAGGCUCAAGCGAUCCUCUGGCCUCAGCCUCCCGAGUAGCUGGGACUAGGGUUGCACACCACCACUCCUGGUUAAUUUUUUGUGUGUAUUUUUUGUAGAGACGAGGUCUCCCUAAGUUGCCCACGCUGGUCUUGAACUCCUGGGCUCAAGUGACCCACCUGCCUCGGCCUCUCAAAAUGCUGAGAUUAUAGGCAUGAGCCACUGUGCCCGGUUCAAGUUAAAGAUCUUGAGAUGAAAUGAUUCUUGGGAUCAUUAUCUUGGACGGAUUGUAAAUCCCAGGAUGAAUGUCCUUAUAUGAGACGCGCAGAGGAGAGACACAGAGAUGGAAGAGGAGAAGGCCAUGUGAAGGCAGAGGCAGCGACUUGAGAGUUGCAGCCACAAGCCAGGAUGGCCUGGAAGAGGCAGGAGCAGACUCUUCUUAGAGCCUCCAGAGGGAGUGUGGCCCUGCUGACACCUUGAUCUUGGACCCUUGGCCCAUCAGAGCUGUAAGAGAGUAAGUUUCUGCUGUUUGAGGUCAUCUGCUGCAGGAGCCCCCAGGAACAAAUACACCUCCCAAUCCCAUUUUUAAUUCCCGAGGGUUUGCACCCCCAGGACACUUCUUCCACACAUGCCCUGUUGUGCUCCGUAUUGCCCUGUGUCCAUUUGGAAGUGGGACUCCAUCCUGUUGAUACGUUCCACAUAAAAUAUACUUGUACCAAAAAUGUCUUGUUUUUAGGAGACUGUGGGGGAUGGGAGUUGGGGGAAGGGUUCCAUUUUCCAGGGCAAUUAUAGCUGUCCCUCAGUAUCCUAAAGGGUUUGGUUCCAGGACUCCUGCAGGUACCAAAAUUCAAGGAUGUCCAAGUCUCUGAUAUAAAAUGGCAUAGUAUUUGUAAAUAACCUAUGCACAUUCUCCUGUAUACUUUAAAUCAUCUCUAGAUUAUUUGUAAUACCUAAUACAAUGUAAGUGCUGUGUAAAUAGUUAUUGUACUGUAUUAGUUUUAAAAUUUGUGUUAUUUAUUAUUAUUAUUUUGAGACAGAGUCUCGCUCUGUCGCCAGGCUGGAGUGCAGUGGCAUGAUCUUGGCUCACUGUACCCUCCGCCUUCCAGGUUCAAGCGAUUCUCCUGCCUCAGACUCCUGAGGAGCUGGGACUACAGGUGCAUGCCACCACGCCCAGCUAAUUUUUGUAUUUUUAGUAGAGAUGGGGUUUCACCAUGUUGGCCAGGAUGGUCUCGAUCUCUUGACCUCAUGAUCCUCCCACCUUAGCCUCCCAAAGAGCUGGGAUUACAGAUGUGAGCCACCGUGCCUGGCCUAUUGUUGCUAUUAUUAAAAAAAAAAUUUGGAGAUGAGGUCUCAGUCUGUUGCCCAGGCUGGAGUGUAGUGACAUGAUUAUGGCUCACUGCAGCCUCAAACUCCUGGACUCAAGCUAUCCUGCCACCUCAGCCUGCCGAGUAGCUGAGACUACAGGUUCGUGCCACCACACCUGGCUAAUUUUUGUUUUUUUGGUUUUUGUAGAGCUGUGAUCUCAUUAUGUGUUGUCCAGGCUGGUCUCAAACUCCUGGCCUCAAGUGAUCCUCCCACCACAGUGCUGGGAUGGCAGGUGUGAGCCACUGUGUCUGGCCUGUUGUUAUUUUUAAAUUGCUUUUCUUUUUUCAAAUAUUUUUGAUCCAUGGUUGAUUGAAAUCUUGGAUGUGGAACCAGGGGGUAACUGAGGGCGAAUUGCACUGGGCUUUCCCUUGACUAAAUUUGGGCAAAAUAAAAUGAUCUCUAACCUUUGUAAAGCUAAUCAGACACCUCUAGGGUAGCAAAUCCUAAAAGAAAAAGAUCAGGCAUAUGAGUGCGUGUGUGUGUGCACGUGUAUCUGUGUUGCCAAGCUGUUCCCUCCCCCACCCCCACCACUUUGCUUUUGGAGGCAAAGGAAAGGCACCCUCCUGGCUAGCAGGCCAGAUGAGCCUUGUCACCUGGGGGAUAGGAUGCGACCCAGAUCUGCUCCUGAGCACAAAGAUGAGCAAAAUCAAAGGAAAUUGCAUGAGACUGAAGACCUUCUGUGUGGUCCUCCUGGGAGUGGCAGAAGUUUCUGGUGGAGGCGCAAAACAGGCCCCUGCUACACAUAACUUCCAUAACCACCAAUCCACAGGCAAUCCACCCACCCACACCACAUCCCAGGCCUCUCCUUUCCGUGCCUGACCUGUGCUCCCGUGGCCUGCAUGGGUGUGAGUCGCCUCUUUCUCCACUGCAGGCCUCUUCCAGGAUGUCCUGGUGAAGAACACCACUGCCUGUCCAAUUAUACUAGUCAGAACCCUGGGAGUGUCUCUUGACACUCCUUCUCAUCGUCCGCCAAACCCAGCCCAUCCCCAAAGCCUGUUGAUUGUAUUUCCUGCUUGUCACACAAAUGCCACCAGCUUUGAUGGGCACCUUGUUCCUCCCCUUUGUGGUACUUGUCACAGUUGCAAUUUGCCUGUGAGCUCCGCAGAAGACAGAUGCCACGGCUGCUUAUUCCUUGUCGUGUCCCUGGUUCCUAAAACAGUGCCUCGUGCAUCACUGGUGUUCAAUAAAUACUUGCCAAAUCAUUGAAUAAAUAAGCAAAUGAAUGAAGGAAUGCAGUUUUGAG